rnacentral:sRNA from 1 species
CAAAGCCCUCCUAACUUUGAAUGAUAAAACUCCUAAAAUUUUUUUCAUAAUAAUCUCCCUAUAAGAGCCACCAAAACCGGUGGUUUUUUU